rnacentral:rRNA from 1 species
AGGACGAACGCUGGCGGCGUGCCUAACACAUGCAAGUCGAACGGGGGUAGCAAUACCCCAGUGGCGAACGGGUGCGUAACACGUGAAGAACUUGUCCAUCGGCGGGGGAUAGCCGGCCCAACGGCCGGGUAAUACCGCGUACGCCGUCUGAAGCGCAUGCUUCGGCCGGGAAAGCAGCAAUGCACCGAUGGAGAGCUUCGCGGCCUAUCAGCUUGUUGGCGGGGUAAUGGCCCACCAAGGCGACGACGGGUAGCUGGUCUGAGAGGAUGACCAGCCACAUUGGGACUGAGACACGGCCCAGACUCCUACGGGAGGCAGCAGUGGGGGAAUAUUGCGCAAUGGGGGAAACCCUGACGCAGCGACGCCGCGUGUGGGAUGACGGCCUUCGGGUUGUAACCACUGUCGCGAGGGACGAAAAAUAGACGGUACCUCGAAGGAAGCACCGGCUAACUCUGUGCCAGCAGCCGC